GAUGAACGCUGGCGGCGUGCCUAAUACAUGCAAGUCGAGCGAACGGACGAGAAGCUUGCUUUUCUGAUGUUAGCGGCGGACGGGUGAGUAACACGUGGAUAACCUACCUAUAAGACUGGGAUAACUUCGGGAAACCGGAGCUAAUACCGGAUAAUAUUUUGAACCGCAUGGUUCAAAAGUGAAAGACGGUCUUGCUGUCACUUAUAGAUGGAUCCGCGCUGCAUUAGCUAGUUGGUAAGGUAACGGCUUACCAAGGCAACGAUGCAUAGCCGACCUGAGAGGGUGAUCGGCCACACUGGAACUGAGACACGGUCCAGACUCCUACGGGAGGCAGCAGUAGGGGAUCUUCCGCAAUGGGCGAAAGCCUGACGGAGCAACGCCGCGUGAGUGAUGAAGGUCUUCGGAUCGUAAAACUCUGUUAUUAGGGAAAAACAUAUGUGUAAGUAACUGUGCACAUCUUGACGGUACCUAAUCAGAAAGCCACGGCUAACUACGUG
rnacentral:rRNA from 1 species